GGGUCCGUAGCUCAGUGGAUAGAGCGUCUGUCUCCGGAACAGAAGGUCGUGAGUUCGAACCUCAUCGGGCCCACCG
rnacentral:tRNA from 3 species